rnacentral:rRNA from 1 species
AGUGAACGCUGGCGGUAGGCCUAACACAUGCAAGUCGAACGGCAGCACAGGAGAGCUUGCUCUCUGGGUGGCGAGUGGCGGACGGGUGAGGAAUACAUCGGAAUCUACUUUUUCGUGGGGGAUAACGUAGGGAAACUUACGCUAAUACCGCAUACGACCUACGGGUGAAAGCAGGGGACCUUCGGGCCUUGCGCGAUUGAAUGAGCCGAUGUCGGAUUAGCUAGUUGGCGGGGUAAAGGCCCACCAAGGCGACGAUCCGUAGCUGGUCUGAGAGGAUGCUCAGCCACACUGGAACUGAGACACGGUCCAGACUCCUACGGGAGGCAGCAGUGGGGAAUAUUGGACAAGGGGCGCAAGCCUGAUCCAGCCAUACCGCGUGGGUGAAGAAGGCCUUCGGGUUGUAAAGCCCUUUUGUUGGGAAAGAAAUCCAGCUGGCUAAUACCCGGUUGGGAUGACGGUACCCAAAGAAUAAGCACCGGCUAACUUCGUGCCAGCAGCCGCCGUAA